rnacentral:rRNA from 1 species
GAUGAACGCUGGCGGCGUGCCUAAUACAUGCAAGUCGAGCGAACAGAUGAGGAGCUUGCUCCUCUGACGUUAGCGGCGGACGGGUGGGUAACACGUGGAUAACCUACCUAUAAGACUGGGAUAACUUCGGGAAACCGGAGCUAAUACCGGAUAAUAUAUUGAACCGCAUGGUUCAAUAGUGAAAGACGGUUUUGCUGUCACUUAUAGAUGGAUCCGCGCCGCAUUAGCUAGUUGGUAAGGUAACGGCUUACCAAGGCAACGAUGCGUAGCCGACCUGAGAGGGUGAUCGGCCACACUGGAACUGAGACACGGUCCAGACUCCUACGGGAGGCAGCAGUAGGGAAUCUUCCGCAAGGGGCGAAAGCCUGACGGAGCAACGCCGCGUGAGUGAUGAAGGUCUUCGGAUCGUAAAACUCUGUUAUUAGGGAAGAACAAAUGUGUAAGUAACUAUGCACGUCUUGACGGUACCUAAUCAGAAAGCCACGGAUAACUACGUG